CGGCAGCAGCGAAGUGUGAGCGCGUGCACGGCUACAGAGCACGACCUCCCCUCUCCUCCCUCUCCGCUUGCCCGGCGUUCUCUCUCGCCUGCACAGCGCACCGACUGGGAGAACAAUCGCGAGCGCCAAUCGUCGUCGCUGGGCGUCUCCAGGUAACUCCCCCUACCCAGCGGCGGGCUCCUCCAUCAUGAGCGAGUUCCAGCGCAUCCUCAGCCCGGCGCAGCUCACGAAGCACUAUGAGGUGCUACAGUUUCUCAGCCGCCACCCGAACCAGCCGUACACGCUGGCGCAAUUGGACUCUCUCCUGCCGCGCGGUGUGGCAGUGCAGCGCUUUCCAGCGGAAUGGUUCGCGCUCGUGGAGGACGGCGCCUGCUGGCACCGCAGCAUUGAGCUGCAUCGCACCCACAGCACUGCCACCACCGCCUCUUCCCCAGCGUCGUCCACGCCAACAGCGGAGGAGCGGGCCCGGUAUGUGCUGCUGUGUGCCCGUGCCGUGGUCAACACACUGGAUGAGCUGUGCGCGCGCAUCGAGUCUCCGUCCACGCUGCUGGACCCGGAAGGCUGCGUCGCACUGCACACCGAUCAAAUCGUCGUCUCAGCAGCGCUUAUCCGGCGAGCGGUUCACAUGGGGCUAGUCUACUACUUCCCUGACACGUACGACAAGUCGGAGUUCAAGCAGUUUGGCAUGCGAGACGCUUCAUCUUCGGCCAGUGGUGGCACGGCGGCGGGACCUGGCCCAGAUGGGGGCACAGGCAGCGGUGGCGGCGGCAGUCGAGCGAACAUCGGGCAAGUGACCGCGUCUCUGCGGGAGUCUUUCCUAGAACGCGAUGAGGCCUAUGGCGGAGGGAACAACGUUGGCGGUGACCGCACCUACAUUGCCCUUCCACCCGGUGUCUGCGUACAGCAUCGCCUGCUCACCCGCCGCGGUGUGCCCGAGCAGGAGGCGCACUCGCUGCCGACGCGUUUCUACGUGGGGGAGCGGGUGCUCCUCCUCUUCGACAACCUGGUCGCCGUGAAGAAGUUGGGGCUGCCAAACAAGCUGCGCGUCGAGUGGUCACUGGCAGGCGUGAGGCUGAAAAACACGGGUGACACCGGCCAGGCAACCGGGGAGGGGGGGACAAGCCGACUGGAGGCGCUUGCCGCAGCGCAACCGCAACCGCUCCGGAUACGCCGCGAGAACGUUGCGGUGCGCAACACAUCGGCGACGACGACCUCCGCUGCUAUGGAUGCGCCAGCGCCAAUCUUUGCCAGCACCAAGGUCAAGGUGGAGAUCGAGGCGGUGCAGGCCUGCACGCUCAAGCUGAUCCUCACUGUGAACGGCCUGGAGAAUGUGCUGAAUCUCGAAGUGCAAGAGAGCGCUGUGAGCCUGCCGGGCGUACUCGUGCUGCGCGACCGCCACCUGGACAGCUUCGCCCUACCAGAGAAGAGCAUCCUUGAGGACCCUAUUGUGAACCCCUCGCCUUCAUGGCGGUACCCGUAUGAGUCGGUGCUGCACGCCGCGAGUUCAUCGUCGUCCGGGGAGUGCAGCGACGACACAGCGGCUCAGUGGGCGACUGCAGCUGCCGAGCCGUGGACAGAGCUUGUUCCUCUCCCUUGGACACAGAACCCAUCUCCGGCUGUGCUGGCGCUGCGGGAGGCGACCUACCCGACCCAGGACGUCACCGUCCGCGCCGCCACCCGCGCCGUCUUCUCCGCGCAGUCCCUGGCUGACGAGGCGCGGCUGCGACAGACGAAGGAGCGCAUGCGUCGCGAGACCGACGCUCGCGCCGGCACCGGCGGGGGCGGAAAGCGGCGGCGACGACAGCAGCCCCGCAGCAGCUUGGUGCUCAGCAACCGCCAUCUCCUCCACUUUGGCCUUGACUUCUCCAUCCCCUUUGUGAAUCGGCGCGAUUAGGACGUUAUCCCAAGCACCGACCGCGUGUAGACUUGUGUGCGUGAGCAACGGUGUCUCGCGAGUUGCUGCUGCUGCCGCCGUCGCGGCGACUCCGUUCUCUCGAACUCGCUUCUUCCCUCGAUUCUCCGGCGGCUCUCCCUCUCUGUCCGCCGUCAGGAUUUUGCUGGGCGCACGCCGAACGCGUGAGAGGCAGAAGGCACGAGCUCGAAAGCCAAACACACGCGUAGGGGAAAAGAGCGUCUCGGCAAGACACGUCUGUGCACGACUUGCAAUGCGCCUCCCCUUAUACACACACACACACCUGUGACUCUAGCGUGUGUGAAAGCUAUCUGAUGCGUGCAGGUGCUUCACAUACCCCCUCCCCAUCCCCUUCUACUGCCCUCCACGGCCUCCUUGCGCUGGAGAGGGACUUCGCAUCAAACCCGAACGGAGAGAGGGACGUGUGAGGGUAGUCGUGAGUGCCGGCGGCUCUGCCGCUUCUGCUAAACGUGGCCGUCCCUGCUACUCAUCUUGAAUCGAUCACGCUUGUCUGCUCCGCCUGUCUCUCUCGCUCCCCUCUGUCCACCUCACCUCCGCACACCUGGGAACCUUUGACGGCUGCUCGCACCUGCUCCGUUGGUGAUUAUUGGCUGACAAUGACGAUGCCAAUGAGGCAACCGAUAG
rnacentral:misc_RNA from 1 species